rnacentral:rRNA from 1 species
CGGACGGGUGAGUAACGCGUGAGAAUUUGCCUUUAGGAGGGGGACAACAACUGGAAACGGUUGCUAAUACCCCAUAUGCUUUCGAGUGAAACGGAUUUUUCCGCCUAGAGAGAAGCUUGCGGCUGAUUAGCUUGUUGGUAAGGUAAUGGCUUACCAAGGCGACGAUCAGUAUCUGGUUUGAGAGGAUGAUCAGACACACUGGAACUGAGACACGGUCCAGACUCCUACGGGAGGCAGCAGUGGGGAAUUUUCCGCAAUGGGCGAAAGCCUGACGGAGCAAUCUCGCGUGAGGGAUGACGGCCUAUGGGUUGUAAACCUCUUUUUUCAGGGAGGAAUAAAUGACGUGUACCUGAAGAAUAAGCAUCGGCUAACUCCGUGCCAGCAGCCGCGGUAAGACGGAGGAUGCAAGUGUUAUCCGGAAUCACUGGGCGUAAAGCGUCUGUAGGUGGUUUGAUAAGUCAACUGUUAAAUCUUGAAGCUCAACUUCAAAAUCGCAGUCGAAACUAUUAGACUAGAGUAUAGUAGGGGUAAAGGGAAUUUCCAGUGGAGCGGUGAAAUGCGUAGAUAUUGGAAAGAACACCGAUGGCGAAGGCACUUUACUGGGCUAUUACUGACACUCAGAGACGAAAGCUAGGGUAGCAAAUGGGAUUAGAUACCCCAGUAGUC